rnacentral:rRNA from 3 species
AGCCGCCUAAGGUGGGAUAGAUGAUUGGGGUGAAGUCGUAACAAGGUAGCCGUAUCGGAAGGUGCGGCUGGAUCACCUCCUUU